rnacentral:rRNA from 1 species
UACGGGGGGAGCAAGCGUUGUUCGGAUUUACUGGGCGUAAAGCGCACGUAGGCGGAUCUUUAAGUCAGGGGUGAAAUCCUGGAGCUCAACUCCAGAACUGCCUUUGAUACUGAGGACCUUGAGUUCGGGAGAGGUGAGUGGAACUGCGAGUGUAGAGGUGAAAUUCGUAGAUAUUCGCAAGAACACCAGUGGCGAAGGCGGCUCACUGGCCCGAUACUGACGCUGAGGUGCGAAAGCGUGGGGAGCAAACAGG